CAAGUUCCACUGAGGCUUCUGGUUCAACACUUCCAAACAGGGACAUCGUGCUGAAUGUUCGCCGUGUUUGGGGUGUGUUACGCUGGGUACUCUUUGGAGUUCUGCUUCUCUUCCAGGUUUCCAUCAACUGUGUGACAACUUUGAAAAGGAAAAAAACAGCCGAGACCUUGGAGAUGGGGUCGGCAGUGGUGGAGGAAGGAGAGGGACAGCGCCGGUGAGCUGGCUGGGUGGGGCC